rnacentral:rRNA from 1 species
CCUACGGGUGGCUGCAGUGGGGAAUAUUGGGCAAUGGGCGCAAGCCUGACCCAGCAACGCCGCGUGAAGGAAGAAGGCUUUCGGGUGGUAAACGUCUGUUAAGAGGGAAGAGCAGAAGACGGGACCUCUUGAAUAAGCCACGGCUAACGACGUGCCAGCAGCCGCGGUAAUACGGAGGGGGCAAGCGUUGUCCGGAUGUACUGGGUGUAAGGGCGUGCAGCCGGGAAGACAAGUCAGAUGUGAAAUCCCGCGGCUCAACCGCGGAACUGCAUUUGAAACUGUUUUUCUUGAGUACCGGAGAGGUCAUCUGCCUUCCUUUUGUAGCGGUGAAAUGCGUCGAUCUCCGGC